rnacentral:lncRNA from 1 species
CAUAUUUCUUUUUUUUUUUUUUUUUUUUUUUUUUUUUUUUUUUUUUUUUUUUUUUUUUUUUUUUUUUUUUUUUUUUUUUUUUUUUUUUUUUUUUUUUUUUUUUUUUUUUUUUUUUUUUUUUUUAAAAAAUUUUUUUUCAUAAGAGCACUAUUCUAUUGCUGGUUACUAAAAGAAAGAGAACCAGGUAGAGAGAACGGAAGUAGUUGAGGGAAGAUUUCGCUGUGCCCUAGACAAAGAGUCUAACUUGGCUCGGAUCAGACGCUGAAUUUCAGCAAUAA